rnacentral:rRNA from 1 species
GAUGAACGCUAGCGGCAGGCCUAACACAUGCAAGUCGAGGGGUAGAGUUAGCUUGCUAACAUGAGACCGGCGCACGGGUGCGUAACGCGUAUGCAAUCUACCUUGUACAGAGGGAUAGCCCAGAGAAAUUUGGAUUAAUACCUCAUAGUGUUAUGAUGUGGCAUCACAUUAUAACUAAAGUUCCAACGGUAAAAGAUGAGCAUGCGUCCUAUUAGCUUGAUGGUAAGGUAACGGCUUACCAUGGCUACGAUAGGUAGGGGUCCUGAGAGGGAGAUCCCCCACACUGGUACUGAGACACGGACCAGACUCCUACGGGAGGCAGCAGUGAGGAAUAUUGGACAAUGGGCGCAAGCCUGAUCCAGCCAUGCCGCGUGCAGGAAGACGGUCCUAUGGAUUGUAAACUGCUUUUGUACGGGAAGAAACACUCCUACGUGUAGGAGCUUGACGGUACCGUAAGAAUAAGGAUCGGCUAACUCCGUGCCAGCCGCCGCGGUAACAC